UGACGGGCGGAAGGACGGUCCCCGCGGGUGGCAGGGACCGCGGCGUCCGAGCGGGCGGGAUUCGCGCCUGGCCAGGCACGGUCCGAAGUCCGCGCUAUGGGAGAAGAGAAAUACUUGCCUGAGCUGAUGGCAGAGAAGGAUAGCCUGGAUCCAUCUUUUGUGCACGCGUCGCGCCUUCUGGCAGAAGAAAUUGAGAAAUUUCAAGGUUCAGAUGGAAAAAAAGAAGACGAAGAAAAGAAAUAUCUCGAUGUCAUCAGCAACAAAAACAUAAAGCUUUCUGAAAGAGUGUUGAUCCCGGUGAAACAAUACCCAAAGUUCAAUUUUGUUGGGAAAUUGCUUGGACCAAGAGGAAACUCCUUGAAGAGGCUACAGGAAGAAACAGGUGCUAAGAUGUCUAUCUUGGGCAAAGGAUCAAUGCGCGAUAAAGCAAAGGAAGAAGAGUUGAGGAAGAGUGGGGAGGCCAAGUAUGCACACCUGAGCGACGAACUGCAUGUAUUAAUUGAAGUGUUUGCUCCACCUGGGGAAGCUUAUUCACGGAUGAGUCAUGCCUUGGAGGAGAUUAAAAAAUUCCUGGUUCCUGACUACAAUGAUGAAAUUCGCCAGGAACAGCUCCGGGAGUUGUCUUACUUAAAUGGCUCAGAAGAGUCUAGCCGUGGCCGAGGUCUUAGAGGCAGAGGAAUCAGAAUUACUCCCUUAACUCCGUCAAGGGGCCGUGGGGGUGCUGUUCCUCCCCCACCACCACCUGGACGCGGUGUUCUUACCCCUCGGGGGACCACUGUUACCCGUGGAGCUCUUCCAGUGCCCCCAAUAGCGAGAGGUGUCCCCACACCUCGUUCCAGAGGGACAGCAGCUGUACCAGGAUAUAGAGCACCUCCACCUCCAGCCCAUGAGGCUUAUGAAGAAUAUGGGUACGAUGAUGGCUACGGGGGUGAAUAUGAUGACCAGACCUACGAGGCUUACGAUAGCAGCUACGUGACCCCGACACAAAGUGUGCCUGAAUACUAUGACUAUGGUCAUGGAGUAAAUGAGGAUGCCUAUGACAGCUACGCAACAGAAGAAUGGGCCACAACUCGUUCCAGCCUGAAGGCACCACCAUCAAGGUCAGCCAGAGGGGGAUACAGGGAACACCCCUAUGGUAGAUAUUGAAGGUCCUCUGCACCUGUGACCUCCUCAAAGACAGUUCAUAGCCUCUGGUCUCCACAUAAACAGCAACAAGACAAGUUUGCACAAAGGACACAUAAAUGGUAGCAGAUGCGAUGGGCUAAGGAGGAUAAAGGACUUCUUUCCUUUGUAUGGCUGAAUAGUAUGACUGAAUAGCUAUGCAUUUGGACGACAUUUACUUUACCUGUUCAUCGGGUGAUGGCCAUGUUGAUAUUUCCAUGUCUUGACUACUGUGGAUAGAGCUGCAUUGAACACAGGAGUGCAGGCUAAAGAAGAAGUUGAUUUAGCCCAGGACUGGGAAAAAAGACGCCCUAAAAGAGAUGAGAUUGAUUGGAAUGGUCAGAUGUGGAAAAAAUCUUGACAAGAAGAAGAAGGUGAGAAACCAUCUACUGUUCAUGCCUGUGGCUGCCCACUAAUAGAGAAGCCACAGAUGCCCCCAGGAGAACACCUGCCAAUGAAACCCUGCUGUCCAGCCAGUGAGGUGGAAAAGGUAAAACUAUGACUCAUCUGAUCUUCGUUCAGCUGGGUCAUAAAUACAACAUGCAGGACAUCAUACUGGAUGAUAAGUGUGGAUCGCAGAUGUCUGUAAAGCAAGUCCCCACCUCGUGGACUGCAGAAUCUGGAGGAAAAGUAAUGAUUAAAAUGCGCAGCGAACAAUACAGAUUUUCAUUAUUGAAAUAUUCAAAUGACAACUGAGAUAUACAAUUUAUCAAAGAAAAUAUUUGUUAAACAUGACACAGUAUUAUUGGGUUCCUCAUUGGCGAAACGAUAAACAAUCGGAUAAAAUCCUUCCUAGGACUGGAGAGCUGUCACUUCUUCAGUUAUGAGAAACAAAGCUGUUUCCUGUCUGCAGAUACUGCCAGAAGCCCAGUGAGAACUGAGGACAAAGCCCCUUGCAGCUUGAACUGCUGGAUUAGAAGGAAAUUUCUAAAUGCAAUUUGCUAAUGGAGACAACAUGCUGCUGAGGAAAUCGAGGGAAAUUCAUAAUGUGCGGUAGCUGGUACAACUAACUUGAAAUAAAGCACUUUCGGGGUACAAAAAAAAAAAAAAACCAAAAAGGUGAUAAAGCUCAAAACUGUAAGAGAAAUAAAUAAAUAGAGUUGUGUUUAGGGGCCAUGUAGCUUUCAGCGUGUUGGGGAUAGAUAAUAAAAUAUAUAAAGGAGCAAUGCAAACCCUGGCACUAUAAAAAGCAAUCAAAUUGUUGGGAUCGUUAAAUAAAAGGCCUUUUCUUUUCAUUUUGUGGAAAUGCUAAUUGAAUAUACAAAUGAAAAUAAUAAAAUAUGAUUUUGGAAAUGUCAGUGGCGGUGUUAAUCCAUACAAGAGACUGCUUGAGGCAUGUGAUUCAAUGAAGGGUAUAUCCUGGAAGAAAUUGGAGGUUCUGGAGACAGGCAUCACAGUUGGUGAUGAGCGGAAAGAGCAAGUAUGCAGCUCUGGACCUUCUGUCUGUAUCUGAGCCUGUAAGUUGCUGAGGUCGUCUCAUAGAGUUCGCACCACAGUAGGGCUGCUCAGCAGGGUUUCUCAGUCACUCGGGGACUGUGUGGAAAGUUGCCGCUGAUGUUACAGAAUAUUGAGGCCAAAGGUGGUGGGAUUCAAAUAGCAGCUCUGCAGGGACACAGAAAGUAUGUGUCAGGGCUUUUGAA